rnacentral:rRNA from 1 species
UAGUGGCGAACGGGUGAGUAACACGUGGGCAAUCUGCCCUGCACUCUGGGACAAGCCCUGGAAACGGGGUCUAAUACCGGAUAAUACUGUGCCCCUCAUGGGGGACGGUUAAAAGCUCCGGCGGUGCAGGAUGAGCCCGCGGCCUAUCAGCUUGUUGGUGGGGUAAUGGCCUACCAAGGCGACGACGGGUAGCCGGCCUGAGAGGGCGACCGGCCACACUGGGACUGAGACACGGCCCAGACUCCUACGGGAGGCAGCAGUGGGGAAUAUUGCACAAUGGGCGAAAGCCUGAUGCAGCGACGCCGCGUGAGGGAUGACGGCCUUCGGGUUGUAAACCUCUUUCAGCAGGGAAGAAGCGAAAGUGACGGUACCUGCAGAAGAAGCGCCGGCUAACUACGUGCCAGCAGCCGCGGUAAUACGUAGGGCGCAAGCGUUGUCCGGAAUUAUUGGGCGUAAAGAGCUCGUAGGCGGUUUGUCACGUCGGGUGUGAAAGCCCGGGGCUUAACCCCGG